UACGUAGGCAGCAAGCGUUGUUCGGAAUUACUGGGCGUAAAGCGAGUGUAGGCGGUUCGAUAAGUUUGGUGUGAAAUCUCCCGGCUCAACUGGGAGGGUGCGCCGAAGACUGUCGAGCUAGAGUGUGGGAGAGGUAGGCGGAAUUCCUGGUGUAGCGGUGAAAUGCGUAGAUAUCGGGAGGAACAUCUGUGGCGAAGGCGACACCCUGGACCAGCACUGACACUGAGGCACGAAAGCGUGGGGAGCAAACAGG
rnacentral:rRNA from 1 species